AUACUCUGGUUUCUUUUCAAAUCGCAUAAAUCUUUCGCCUUUUACUAAAGAUUACUGGUCUGAAAUUUUAUGUAGUGAAAACGAAGUUAUUUUUAUUUUUUUUUAUAAGUA